CCUACGGGUGGCAGCAGUGAGGAAUAUUGGUCAAUGGACGCAAGUCUGAACCAGCCAUGCCGCGUGCAGGAAGAAGGCUCUGUGGGUUGUAAACUGCUUUUGUACGAGGGUAAAGGCAGAUACGCGUAUCUGUCUGAAAGUAUCGUACGAAUAAGGAUCGGCUAACUCCGUGCCAGCCGCCGCGGGAAUACGGGGGAGUCAAACGUUAUUCGGAUUUAUUGGGGUUAAAGGGUGCGUAGGCGGUCGGAUAAGUUAGAGGUGAAAUCCCGAGGCUCAACUUCGGAAUUGCCUUUGAUACUGUGCGGCUAGAGAGUAGUUGAGGUAGGCGGAAUGUAUGGUGUAGCGGUGAAAUGCUUAGAGAUCAUACAGAACACCGAUUGCGAAGGCAGCUUACCAAGCUACGUCUGACGUUGAGGCACGAAAGCGUGGGGAGCAAACAGGAUUAGAUACCCGAGUAGUC
rnacentral:rRNA from 1 species